CAACCUGGAGCCAACCUCUGGACUCCAGUAUUAAAGAGGAAGAGGAAAAAAAGGAAAACAAACUGCUGCUAAUACAGUACCUCCGAUUGUUAAAAAAAAAAAAAAAAUAAUCUGCUAUUUCUUGGUUUUGUUUUCUUCUACCCCCAACUCCCACCAUCCUCGUCCUUCUCCUGUCAUGCCUUAGUCCUCACUGGCUUAUCAUUAUCGUCAGGUCCCAUGCAGCCAUGUGUGGAUGUUUUUAUUUUUAUUUUUUGGUUUGUUUUUCCUAGAAUACCACAUCAGCACCACAUCGCCCCAUCAGUGCUGAUUUUGAAUGUCCCCGCCCCUCAUCAUUGAAAGACAUAAUUUUCACUUUUAGGUUUGGAGCACUGCGUUCAUGCCCACGGAAGAAAAAUAAACAACAUUCAUGGACGUUCAUGUCUUAAUGUUUAGUUUUUUAAAUGUUUUUUUUAUCAGCUUUACCCUGAAUAAACACUUGUGUUAUAGCCUAUAACUCUUUGGUUCCUCUCUGCUGAUUGGUCCGUGAGUAAAUGUAUGGGAGAGGAUUGAGGACAAGAACAUUUCUCGCCUUUUCUCCGAGGCGUUGGGACGUCCAAGGUGUUCCAACCAUGGCUAUGGCCCGGCGAGUUUCAUUGAUCUAGCAAUGACCGAUGUCUCGAUCACAGAUAAAUAAAUAUAAGAGACAUAUUUAACCAUGUUUGUUUUAGAAGUGCCUCUCAUUGACAACGAUGUGAAAAGCCAGUGGUUCUCACUGACCACAUUAAUACAAGGUAUGAUGAUUGGGAUUAAAUGCCCAGUUUCAAUAUUUGGAUGCAUGUGAGCCCCUAGAAUUAAUCACACAAAUAUCCAAACGUGUGUUUGGGGAAUUUCACAUUGAUUCUGUGUAUGUAUACAAUGUUUCUUGAUGUGCUUCUUAACGUACAGUUGGGAAAGGCAAAAAUCUCAAUGCCACAUUCAGAAAUAUUGCCCCAUAUCAAGGAGUUGAAAUGCCUUUCCUAAAGUUCUGAUCAUUUUUUCUAAGGCAUAGUGUAUGGAUACGUGUAACUUAAUGUGUCCUCUGCACAGCCAGGUCAAAAUAUUAUGUUCUCAUUUUGCAAGUGCGUUGGGGUCUUAAUUUAAAAUGUGUUCAGUCUUUGGGGAUAAUGUCUGUUCAUGUAUAUAUGUGCUAUUCAUUUUAAGGAUAUUUGAAAUUAUAGAAUAAACUACUUUAAACAUGUGCUCUAUUUGACUGCCUUGUACUCCCCCAAAAUGUGAAUGUCAGUAAAUAUAAGACUUAUUGGCUGCAUCUGCCUUUACAAAGACCUGAUAAGACAAUGUAUCUUAGUAGAUGCUGAUCAGAUUGGCUAAUGAUUGGGGGACUGAACAACAGUUUAUAGCCUAGUUAAAAUGUGAAGUAUGGAUUUCUAUCACAAGUCUCAUAAUGAAUUGCAUUGAGAACACUAAUGAUUAGUUCAUGAUUUAUAAGUGGGGGAAACCUAGAUUGUUUCCGGACAGGAGAUGAAGCAAGAUAACUCAGUGGUUCUGACGGCAGUGGGAUGAUAUUUUCACAAUUGAGGACC
rnacentral:lncRNA from 13 species